AUACGUAGGGGGCGAGCGUUGUCCGGAAUGAUUGGGCGUAAAGGGCGCGUAGGCGGCUUUGCAAGUCAGUAGUGGAAGUCCAUUUUUCAAGGAUGGAAGUGCUACAGAAACUGCGGAGCUUGAGUGCAGGAGAGGUUAUCGGAAUUCCCGGUGUAGCGGUGAAAUGCGUAGAGAUCGGGAGGAACACCAGUGGCGAAGGCGGGUAACUGGACUGCAACUGACGCUGAGGCGCGAAAGUGUGGGGAGCGAACAGGAUUAGAUACCCUGGUAGUCCACGCUGUAAACGAUGAAUGCUAGGUGUAGGGGGUAUCGACCCCUCCUGUGCCGGAGUAAACGCAAUAAGCAUUCCGCCUGGGGAGUACGGCCGCAAGGUUGAAACUCAAAUGAAUUGGCGGGG
rnacentral:rRNA from 1 species